rnacentral:rRNA from 1 species
UACGUAGGGGGCAAGCGUUGUCCGGAUUUACUGGGCGUAAAGAGCGUGUAGGCGGCCAAGCAGGUCCGUUGUGAAAACUGGAGGCUCAACCUUCAGAGGUCGACCGAAACCAUCUGGCUAGAGUCCGGGAGAGGAGAGUGGAAUUCCUGGUGUAGCGGUGAAAUGCGCAGAUAUCAGGAAGAACACCCGUGGCGAAAGCGGCUCUCUGGAACGGUACUGACGCUGAGACGCGAAAGCGUGGGGAGCGAACAGG